UACGAUUUAUCAUGCGCGGCCCAUCUAUCACACAGGUUGAGCGAAACCGUGGUUCGCUCCUUCGUCAUCUUCGCUCCUCUUCAAUCGGCGACGAGACUAUACAGUUUCCGUAACGGUAGGCGUCAAGCUUUAUUCGUCUUGAAUUGUCUUAAUUCGUGAGCCCACUACGAGACCUUCCACUGGUCUGUUCGUCAGCGAAUCAGUCCGGGUGGUGCUCAUCGGUUGUCGAGGCCAGAUUGAUUCGAUUCCGGGAGGCUCGGAAAGUUGUGGGGAGCUUACGUGGAUGGAUUUGCUUAUAGUGGAUGUUAACAAAAGGACAGAGACCAUAAUCAAAAAGAGAAUCAGAAACUGAGUCUAUACAAGCCUUGAGUCUAAAGACCUAAAACUCUACUCUGUUUGGUGUUGGCUAUCUGAGUCACCCUUUCUUAUAGUUAAACGUAUGAUUGCUAAGAAGGCCAGUUUCUGCAUCCCAAGGAGACCCAUCACCAUCAUUCCCUUACUUUCUUGAACUAAAAUGUUUCAUGAUAUCUGAUACUAGAGACUGUUGCAGAUAGAAUAAGCGGGCCUGUUUGAAUGCACAUAGUGGCUUUGAUAGUCUCUGCCUUUGAGUUAUCUUUCUUUCAGUGUCAUUACUGUGCUUCAGUGUCAAUUUAUAUCGUCUGGGGAUAGCUUCUAACUUUAACGUUCAGUCUCUUUAUUUCCAUUCACGUUCUUAGUAAGAUCUUAUUGUUUCUAAUUAAUGAGCUUCUUAGUGAGGCUUUUCUGGUC